CCCUAAGCCACCACAGUCUAUUAGUUUUGUUUUGUUUUUUUGGUACCGGGGAUUGAACUCUGGACCUUGCACUUGCGAGGCAGGCGCCAGAACCACUGAGCUAAAUCCCCAGCCCUAUUAGUUUUUAUUUAGGUCAUCAAGAAGCUGUUGAGGCCUCAAUUAUUCGGUCGAAGCACAGGAACAGGGAGACAUUUUAGACGAGAGAACACAUAGUCAUGAAGGAUCCACGGGGGAUCGCAAAGACCUGCCUCCCAGUGGACGCCCCGGGAGUUUGGCCGGCUUCCCCUGAUCAGGCUAAGGCUGCCUGUGGUGACGCACUGCUGAGCACUUCCGUGGGGCUUUGCUGUCCCUGCAUGAGGAGCAAACCCUGAGGUCCUGUGCUGGGCAGUUUACCGCUGAAGUCUGCUCAGUGUGACGGUAAAUAACAGCCCCUUUCCGAGUCCACAGCACACUGAAAAGGAAAAGUGUUCCAGCCAAACGAAAUGAAAAUUGAAAGCGGUCUGCAUACACAAUGUAAAAAGAAUGGUUACAUAAAUCAUAGCGCAGAAAGAAAACUAUCCACAAUGAACACAGAAAUGCCAGGAAAAAGCUGAAAGCAAAAUGAAGAGCACCUCAGUGAGUUUGAGACAACUUGAAGUUGCACCUUUGUGUAUUUAUUUUUUUAUUUUUUGGUACCAGGGAUCGAACCGGGUCCUUGUGCUUGUGCAGCAGAUGGUGAAACCACUGAGCUAAAUCCCUGGCCCCACCUUUGUGUAUUAGGGGGCUGUGCAUGGCAGCACCAAAAUGCUGUACCUGAGACAGGAUCAUCAGGAAGAAAAGAUUUAUGUGACUCGCAGAGUUAGAGGGUCAAGUACAGCACCAGAUUGGGCACCCCUGUGCAUGGCCUUGGGCCUCCGGUGAGGAUGGCAGGUGGCAGGGGUGGUGUCAUUUUGAUUGAUCACAUCUCAGCCAGGACAGAGACAGGUGGAGGAGAGUCCCUCUCAGGGCCACGCCCCCAAUGACCCAAGAGCCUCUCACUAAGCCCCACCUCUUAAAGGUUCACAGCAGCUCCGGGUACUGCCAUUCUGCAGACCAAGCCUUUAACACACAUGGACCUUUGGGGGACAUGCAUCGAACCCACAGCUCCUCUAGUGAGUGUAAGUCUCUGGGUUCAAUUCCAAGCCCUGGAAACCAAAAAACAAACAAAAAAGCCACAAACACAUUGUAACCCUGUACCUGAGGCCCAAGCUGAUUGGUCUGUGGGUGGAAACCUUGACCAUGGCUGGGCCAGUGAGUUUCUUUUCUGAAAUUUUGAAUUUAGGACCAGAGAAAAACCAGCCAGUCUCACCCUGGGUGGCCAAAGCAGCAACAUGAAAAUCUUUGUGUCUGCUACCACAUAGACAGAAGCUGAAGUCAUCAGUCUAUAAGAGCAGAGAGAAGAACCCGACCGAGAGAGGAAAGUAGACACAAAAUCUGUAGACACACAACACUGGUGAGACUUCCAGGUUCUGCUGCCAGUUGUUCCUGAUCCCACCGGUCCCCUUAUAAAGCAGCACGAAAACAAAAAUUGGUUCUCCUAGCUGAAGCAGUCUAGCAGCUCUCACCCAGGCCCUGCCCUGCUUUCCCAUAACUACUGACCUCCCCCUGGUACUGAUAAGGUAGCGGUCAUACUAAGUUUUGUAGAACUAAGGAACCAUAUGCUCUGUAAACAGCUAUGUUCUGUAAACAGUGUAUGAUCUCUAUUCCCAUAUGAUUCCUAAGACACUGUUUUCUUACAAGGCUAAAUUACUGACCAUCUGCCCCUGUCCUGUUCCAGUAAACUCACUCACUGCGUCACCAGAAAGACCACCCCCUUCAACUAAAUAUAUAAAAACUGGAGCUUUCCGGGGCCGGGGAUUUAGCUCAGUGGUUCUGCCACCUGCUUCGCAAGUGCAAGGACCUGAGUUUGAUCCCCGGUACCAAAAAAUAAAUAAAUAAAAAUUUAAAAAUCUGUUAAAAAAAACAAAACAAAACUGGAGCUUUCCUUUGCUCAAUGGCUCAAUCUUUUAGACAGGAGUCCAACUGAGUCAAGGUACACCAAUAAUUCCUCCUGAUUCCCAUUUGGCCUCUCUUAUCCUUUUAGAAUUCUGCAACACUUGUGCUAUUCAGCUUUUUAGAUUCCAUGAAAUAUGGGUUUGGGGCACAUAAAAUGGAACAGGAUUUAACUUCCCUAAAGAUGAUGAAUUUGGUUUUGGACAUGUGAAUGAGAGAAGAGACCAUCCCACCACAUGGAAUUGGGCAACUAUGAGUUAACUGAGUUAUUAGGCCACUAUGGAUUAACAGGUAACCAUCCUCUUUGUAGAAUGCACCUGCGUAACCAUGACAACUUAUGUACUCUGUCACCAAAGGAGCAGAACAGACUCAGAAAGUCCUGCCGGAACUCUUUGCUCUCCCCCGAUGCACCCACUGCUUUGCUUUGUGUAAAUCCUGCUUGCUCUAUAUUCCCAGGGAAAUUCCAAUGGAAUUAAGCUUCAUAGAUGUAAAAAGAGGUACAUAAGGAAGUGCAAACUUCUAUUUGGGAUUCUCGAGACUGACAGGAGUCACUUGGUGAGCUGCUGGCCUCAUUAAAUGCCGCUUUUUGCUCCUAUCUUUGUGUUAAAGAGUUGUCUGUCUGGGGUCCUCACUGUUUUCUGCUUCAUUAAGUGUAGUUUCUGCAGCACAUCAGUGUGGGAUGUCCACCAGGCAGACGAACAGGCAUGUCUGAAGCUCUGAGAACAAGUGUGUAUCCCAAAUGGACACUUUUGUUCUCUCCAGCCACCCCCCUACCCCCCCAACCCAUGGGAGAGUAUGAAACCAAACACAGAGGACAUAGACAAAAAGCCAAAGAUGGGCUCUGGACAAAAACACAUUAAAAAGAUAAAGAGAAGAAGGAUCAGCAAAAGAAUCUGAGCAGGAAUAUCUAGCAAGGCAGAAUGAGAGCAUGAUGCUGAGGAAAUUGAAGAAAGGGAGAAUUGAAAGAAAAGUGAAAUGGUAACAAUAGCAAAUCUCUAAAGGAUCUACAACAUUCUGGACCCUUGAUGAGCAGCCACCAGCUUGGUAUACUUCUAUCAGUGCCCACUCCUGAGUCCGUAUUUCCCUGUUUCUGACCUCAGAAUGCGAACAUCACCGUUGUUACCAGUCUCUUUCAGGGUGAUUUGAUUUUAUCGAUCCUAACCCUGUAUUAGUCUGCUAUGCCUGAACAGGAUUAAGGACCCAGUGAAAGCGGAUCAGCAGCGAAGGGCCGAGCUCUUCUCCCCAGAAGCUGCUGUGAUUGUACCUCCAGGUACACAAGGAAGGCUGUGAGAGGACAUGCAGUCUCAGGAAGAGGAAGCUGGGCCUCAUCGAUCUAUGAGGGCCUUGUAGGAGGCCUGCGAGCAUGUGGAUGUAAGCUCAUGAAUGGCGUCUAUUCAGAUUUUCACAAAGCCUUUCACAGAGUUCCACACAAAAGAUUGUUUUAAAAUUGAGUCACUGUGGUCGGAUGGGGCCGGGUGUAGCACACAGAUGUUGCUUAGAGACGAGAAACAAUGGGUGAGGGUGAAAGGGCCUCUCGGGAGAAGAUGUCUGAACACUGGCACUCUCCUGGACUGUCCCUUGGUAGGAUUUUUAUGAGUUAUUUGGAGGAGGGAAACAAAAAUGACAUUGACCUUUUCGGCUUCUGCAAAGCCCAAGUGUACGGGGCUAAGCUGGAGUGUGUGAGGCUUUGUGAACAGGCAGGAAAUAUUUGACUUGGUCCUACACUCGCAAAAUAAGUUGUAGAACUUAGGGAAAACAAGGUUCAUAUACUCACUUACCAAACAGUUAUUGAGGAUCUGCUAUGUUGUCGAGGACCUGCAGGGUCACUGUGUGACACUGAGCCACAUGUCGAGGAGGACAUGAUUCAAGCUGCAUUUCUCUCUGCUGUUAGGGAACCUAAAUGGAACAAGAAAAUAUUUCCUGAAUCUUCACUUGAUCUUAGCCAAAAGGCCGAGAAGUGAUAUAUUUCCUGAAUCUUGAGGAAAGUAAAUUUAAGGAUGUAGUUCUAUUUUUUUUUUUUAGUUUUUAAAUUUUUUCCCCAUUAACUUUAUUGGUACAUUUUCGGUAUAAAAUACAGUUACAUUCAUCAUUGGGAUCUUGUACCAUUACAUGAGUCUCUUGGUUCUUAUUUUUUUUCCCCUUCCCCUGCCCUCCCUUCACCCCCUCCACCCUUCCCUAUUUGCAAAGACCUUUGUUUCCAUUUUUUUCCUCUUCUCAUAUUUUUUCCUUUCCCUUUUUUUCCCUUCCCCUACCCCUCCCAAUUCCCCUGCUCUUUUAGAC
rnacentral:lncRNA from 1 species